rnacentral:lncRNA from 1 species
UCUCAUCUUCAAUGUCAUUUUUACAAAAACUACAUAGUCUAUUACUUCUUGGAAUUGCAGAAUAGCGACCACAUUCUAUAGCUAAAUCAUGACUACUAAGUCUUAUUUUGGUAAUACAUGUCUUAUAAAUAACUGGUAUUGGUUUACAUAAAUAAUUUUGUAAACAAAAGUUUUGAACCAUAUAUCUAUAACUUGUACAUUUAACUAAAUUAUUCAUUUGGCUGUCAAAAU